UUUCCGUAGGUGAACCUGCGGAAGGAUCAUUAUUGAAAAAGGCAAGACGCCCCGUUUUUUCGUAAAAUGGGUUCAAUACCCACAACCGUGUAUACCUUACCUUUUGUUGCUUUGGCAGGCCGCCUCCGGGCGUUGGCUUCGGCUGACAGCGCCUGCCAGAGGACCCAAACUCUGUGUUUAGUGAUGUCUGAGUAAUAUAUAAUAUUUUAAAACUUUCAACAACGGAUCUCUUGGUUCUG
rnacentral:misc_RNA from 1 species